ACUCAAUAGAUACCCUGGUAGUCCACGCCCUAAACGAUGUCUACUAGUUGUCGGGUUUUAAUUAACUUGGUAAACGCAGCUAAACGCGUGAAAGUAGACCGCCUGGGGAGUACGGUCGCAAGAUUAAAACUCAAAGGAAUUGACGGGGACCCGCACAAGCGGUGGAUGAUGCGGAUUAAUUCGAUGCAACGCGAAAAACCUUACCUACCCUUGACAUGUACGGAAGCCACGAGAGAUCGAGGUGUGCUCGAAAGAGAGCCGUAACACAGGUGCUGCAUGGCUGUCGUCAGCUCGUGUCGUGAGAUGUUGGGUUAAGUCCCGCAACGAGCGCAACCCUUGUCAUUAGUUGCUACGAAAGGGCACUCUAAUGAGACUGCCGGUGACAAACCGGAGGAAGGUGGGGAUGACGUCAAGUCCUCAUGGCCCUUAUGGGUAGGGCUUCACACGUCAUACAAUGGUACAUACAGAGGGCCGCCAACCCGCGAGGGGGAGCUAAUCCCAGAAAGUGUAUCGUAGUCCGGAUUGUAGUCUGCAACUCGACUGC
rnacentral:rRNA from 1 species